rnacentral:rRNA from 1 species
GUCAUCUCGAACGCGGAGGCUUCUCUACCCGAGUGGCGCACGGGUGAGUAGCGCGUGGGAACCUGCCCUGGAGUGGGGGAUAACCGAGGGAAACUUCGGCUAAUACCGCAUGCGCCCGGAGCAAUCCGGGGAAAGAUUUAUCGCUCUAGGAGGGGCCCGCGUCGGAUUAGCUAGUUGGUGGGGUAACGGCCUACCAAGGCGAUGAUCCGUAGCUGGUCUGAGAGGAUGAUCAGCCACACUGGGACUGAGACACGGCCCAGACUCCUACGGGAGGCAGCAGUGGGGAAUAUUGGACAAUGGGCGAAAGCCUGAUCCAGCAAUGCCGCGUGAGUGAGGAAGGCCUUAGGGUUGUAAAGCUCUUUCGGCGGGGACGAUGAUGACGGUACCCGCGGAAGAAGCCCCGGCUAACUUCGUGCCAGCAGCCGCGGUAAUACGAAGGGGGCGAGCGUUGUUCGGAUUUACUGGGCGUAAAGGGCGCGCAGGCGGUCCUGUUUGUCGAGUGUGAAAGCCCCGGGCUCAACCUGGGAACUGCGCUCGAAACGGCGGGACUAGAGUUCGGGAGAGGAGAGUGGAAUUCCCAGUGUAGAGGUGAAAUUCGUAGAUAUUGGGAAGAACACCGGUGGCGAAGGCGGCUCUCUGGACCGAUACUGACGCUGAGGCGCGAAAGCGUGGGGAGCAAACAGGAUUAGAUACCCUGGUAGUCCACGCUGUAAACGAUGUGUGCUAGACGUUGGGGAGCUUAGCUCUUCGGUGUCGCAGCUAACGCGGUAAGCACACCGCCUGGGGAGUACGGCCGCAAGGGUUAAAACUCAAAGGAAUUGACGGGGGCCCCCCACAACCGGUGGAAGCAUGUGG